rnacentral:rRNA from 1 species
UACGUAGGCAGCGAGCGUUGUUCGGAGUUACUGGGCGUAAAGGGCGCGUAGGCGGUUUGUACAGUCAGAUGUGAAAUUCCCGGGCUCAACCUGGGGGCUGCAUUUGAUACGUGCGGACUUGAGUGGGGAAGAGGGUCGUGGAAUUCCCAGUGUAGAGGUGAAAUUCGUAGAUAUUGGGAAGAACACCGGUGGCGAAGGCGGCGACCUGGUCCUUGACUGACGCUGAGGCGCGAAAGCGUGGGGAGCAAACAGG